rnacentral:rRNA from 1 species
CCCUUAGAUGUUCUGGGCCACACGCGCGUUACACUGAUGAAGCCAGCGAGUAUAUCGCCUUCACCGGAAGGUGCGGGUAAUCUUGUGAAACUUCAUCGUGCUGGGGAUAGACCAUUGCAAUUAUUGGUCUUGAACGAGGAAUUCCUAGUAAGCAUGAGUCAUCAACUCGUGCUGAUUACGCCCCUGCCCUUUGUACACACCGCCCGUCGCUACUACCGAUUGAAUGGUUUAGUGAGAUCUCGGGAUUGGAGACGUUGCGCCGCAAGGCACAUCGUCCUCGAGAACUUGAUCAAACUUGAUCAUUUAGAGGAAGUAAAAGUCGUAACA